GUUCCUUGCUGGUUCCUCUGUUUGUUCACAUUCUGUUCUGCCUGUUCGUUCACGCUCGCAACCCUCGUCCUUGCCAUGUUCCUGCACUGUCAAGCGGGCAACACCCGCCCCUGUAACAUCCAGACCACCUCAACCCACACACAUGUUACCCCCAAACCAGAUUUUACAGCUGGAUGAAGAGCAUCAAUGGAGGCAGUGAGCGAGUGGCCAGACAAUGGUUACCACGUCCAAGCUGGCACGCCAGCCCAGGAUUUCCUGGCUUAAACCAAAAUUUCAAAAAAGAAGUUGUAUUUUUUCCGGUUGCAGAGCAAAGAAUGAGGCGCUUGUAUGUGCCAGAACAACAAGAAUGUUGGGAAAUCUAACAAUCCAGCUAAGUGGUGUGAGUACCAGCUGUCGGUGUUGGCGGGCAGAUGCAGGUGCUUUGUUUUUCACUGUCAUUGUGAGUUACUGUAAGGGUCUGACUGCUCCUGUGCAGGACAGAGAGGGACCGUCUGACACAACAGGGCUUUAAAAAGCAAACAGAGGCAAAAUGAGCGGGGCACUUCAAACGCAAGCACCACCCUGACAUCAAACGCUCUGGAUCUGGCCUGAUCCUCCCUUUCACUGCCGCAUGAGCCUGCAUGGAAGCUGUCAGGCCUCGUUAACGGAGAGACGCCCACUGCCAGCCUGUCUGCCAGCCCAACCGUCUGACUGUCUGCCGGUCUGAGCAGCUUUCUGCGUGACAUCUCAAAUCUCAGUGUGCAUGUCUGUCGCCAGCUCGCUGUUUGUCUGCUCCUCCACGCAAAUCUUGUCCCUGAGAGUUUAGGGGAGUCAGGCAAAGGAGACACAAGGUGGUUGGAACAGGAAAAUGUGUGGGAUGGAGAACCGGAAGUGUUUUAAGGUUGGAAAAAUUCAGGAUGGACCAGAUCAGUUGUUGAUUUUUCAUUACUUGCCAACAGAACUUAUAAGCAGCCAGAAUAACAUUUUCUACAACAUUUAUCCAUGCUUCGGCACCAGGGACCAUGUGCAAUACGCACUGCUCGGUUCUUGAGAGGUCAACCAUCUUAUCAUUUAUUAAAGAAGAUCAAUUCUG